GGCAGUGUAGCCUAGCGGGUAAGGAACUGGUCUCGUAACCUAAAGGUCGCAGGUUCGAUUCCCGGGUAAGGACACUGUCG
rnacentral:tRNA from 1 species